rnacentral:rRNA from 1 species
UACAGGGGGGGCAAGCGUUGUUCGGAAUUACGGGGCGUAAAGGGUCUGUAGGUGGCCAACUAAGUCAGACGUGAAAUCCCUCAGCUUAACUGGGGAACUGCGUCUGAUACUGGAUGGCUUGAGUGUGGGAGAGGAAUGCGGAAUUCCAGGUGUAGCGGUGAAAUGCGUAGAUAUCUGGAGGAACACCGGUGGCGAAGGCGAGUCCCUGGACAACUCCUGACACUGAGGCACGAAAGCUAGGGGAGCAAACAGG